CCAUGACAGGGGGCGGCGCGGCUCGCCGGCCGGCGCCCUCCCGGCGGCGGGUUUAGGUUGCAACACCACUCCUAGACCUACAUGACCUCGUGCACGGCAACAGCUCCCCGGGAGAUGGCCGGAGCCAUCCCCUCCACGGCGACAGGCGGCGACUCCCUCGGCCGGCCGUGGCUUCUUACAACAACAGCUUAACCGACUCAAACGACUACCUCUACUCCAUCCUAGGACACUACAGACUCGACUAUGACUACUCAAGACAGAAGAGAAGCAACGCAAGAUGGUUCUCACUGUGAGCGGGCGGCGCGACGGCGGCGGACAGAAGCGGCGGCGUGCACGGCUACUCCGGCAAGGAUGUGGGACAACGACUGGCCUGGAGUGUAGCUAGGGUGUCUGUGGAGGAGUGGGUGAGAGGAAUCGACGGGAGACGAGAUGUGGCGGCGGAAUUUUGCUCGGCGGUGAUGCUGGACAGAGGAGAGCGGGCGGCGGUAAAAAGAGGAGGCAGUGAAACGGUGGCGCGGGAACAGUAACUAUUCAAGCGAUUCACCCCUCGCAUGGAUGACACCGUGGCCUAUCCGUAGGCUUGCGUGGUGAGGAGGUGGCCUAGCUAGUUGCCCUGGCGGUCCACCGACGACGGCGGCGGCGACACGUCUUGAUGCUCAGUCACCGUUCCUCUGGCGCUCGUGACCUUCAGAGCCGACUGGUGGUCGAUCUUCAAUCCGACGGCCGCUAGCGUCUGAACCGAAGUUGGAGAUAAUCUCAAACUCUCCAUCUUUUAUUUUGACUCCAUCUUGAGAUAAACAUCGAAUUCGACUCAAUUUUGAUUUGUUUCUCGGGUUCUUUUGGAGUUCACUGAAGAAACUGACAUUCAGUUCGUCAGUUCUAACAGUGGCGUUGAUCUCACUUUGGGAACCAAAUUAAGGACUCAAUCCUUGUUCUGUCAAUCCAACUUCUGCCUAAACAUGUUCUACUAUGUCCCAAUGUUCCAUUUUGCUCAUGAACAAGUACCUUUCUUGAUCCACUUUGCUCUGAAUUUAAAUUCCAAGUCGACCUCCUACUGUCGGUUUCAGACUUAGACAUUUUCAGAGUUUCAGUUAACUGUGAUUUUGUGCUGACUUUGAGCUCGAUUUUGACUUCCUUCCCUUCACUGUUUCUGGCCAACAACACAUGAAUAUUGUAGUCCAAAGUUCAUACUUCAAGAUGGUAUAAUUGCCCUGGUGCACUUAGUUGCAAAAUUCUCCAGAAAUUAAUUUUGAAAACGGACUCUGUUGCUGUUUUACUGGACUGCUGUUUUCGGACGGUGAACAGUAGACGUCAUUUUUCCUUUUCUUUCUCUGAUUCCUUUGAGAUAAUUAGCACUAAUUUGGUUCCAAUUUCUUGAUCCCUUAAUUCCAAGUACUCUUACACUUAUACUCCACAUGUUUGACAAAUUUUUCUGAAUUCCAAAUUUGAAAUUCAAAUUUCGGUGAAAUUUGACCGAAUUUGAUCUUUUUGCCAAUUUCUUUUCUUUUUCUUUUGGAUUUCUUUCGGAUUUCUCAUAAUUACUUUGAUACUUCAGAUGGCAAUUAUUACAGCCUCUCCCCCUUAACAGAAUCUCGUCCCGAGAUUCCCGGGGUUAAAUCCUUGGUUUUUGGAAUGGAAAGGAAACUGCGUCAGGUCAAUUACUCUUUCUUUUUCUGUACAAGGAUAGUGGGGUGGUGGUUCUUGUUCCUUAGUUCCUGACGGUUUCAAAUAAUUCCGAAUAUUUAGACUCUAGGUCUUCAGCUUUUUCCCAAGUAGCUUCAUCCGAAAUAUGGUUUUUCCAUUGCACUUUAUAAAACGUGAUACUCCGAGUUCGGGUAUCGCGUGUCUUUUGAUCCAGAAUUUUAAUAGGUUUCUCUUCAUAUGUUAGAUCCGGCUUGAUUUCAAUUUCUGGAUCUUCUAAAAUUUCUUCUGGAACUCUGAGGCACUUCUUAAGCUGGGAUACAUGAAAUACAUCAUGUAUAGAAGCAAGUUGAUCAGGCAAUGACAGUUUAUAUGCCACGGGACCUUUUCGUUCCAGGAUUUCAUAGGGACCAAUAUACCUCGGGGCUAACUUACCCUUUACUCCAAAGCGUUGGACGCCUUUCAUUGGGGAUACCUUUAAGUACACAAAAUCUCCGGCACAAAAUUUCAAGGACCGUCUUCUUUUGUUUGAAUAACUCUUUUGCCGAGACUGAGCUACUUCUAAAUGCUAGCGAAUUUUCUGGACCUUCUCCUCGGUUUCCACAACCAAGUCCGAUCCCAGGUGUGUCCUUUCUCCUACUCCUGACCAAUUUAGAGGAGUUCGGCAUCUUCGACGAUACAAGGCUUCGAAAGGUGCCAUCUUAAUGCUAGCUUGAUAGCUAUUAUUAUAAGAGAAUUCGGCUAGGGGCAAACAUUCAUCCCAUAGCUUAGAGAAGGUAAGGACACAUGCUCUCAACAUGUCUUCUAAAAUUUGAUUGACCCUUUCUGUCUGUCCUCCAGUUUGAGGAUGAUAAGCAGAACUUCUAAUGAGGGUAGUACCCAUGUCCUUUUGCAGUCGUUCCCAGAAUCUGGAAACAAACUGGGAACCUCGAUCGGAGAUUAUGGUUUUUGGCACUCCGUGCAAGGAUACAAUCCGGGCUAUAUAGAGCUUGGCAUAUGUCGACACCGGGUAAGUCGUUUUGACUGGAAUAAAGUGAGCUGACUUAGUAAGGCGGUCGACAAUAACCCAGAUGGAAUCAUACCCCUUUGAAGUGGUAGGUAAUCCUACUAUGAAAUCCAUAGAAAUAUCUUCCCAUUUCCAGACAGGAAUUUCUGAAGGUUGUAACAAACCUGCCGACUUCUGUAGUAUGGGUUUAACUCUUUGGCAAGUGUCACAUUCUGACACAUAUCUUGCAAUUUCAGGUUUCAUUUUGGCCCACCAAAAUCUUUGCUUUAAAUCUUGGUACAUUUUAUUGGUUCCGGGAUGAAUGGAGAACUUGGACGAAUGUGCUUCUUCUAGGAUUAAUCUCCUCAGGUUCUCAUCUUCCGGAACUACUAUCCUGUUCUUGAAAUAUAGUCCUCCGUCUUCUUCUUGAUUAAGUUCGGGAAUCUUUCCCUCAGCUUUUUGCUGACAAAGUGUCUUAAUCCAUGGAUUUUCUUUUUGGGCUGUUAUGAUUCUUUCUUUUAGGGUAUCUUGAAUCAUAACAUUCUGAAGGGUGCCUUGUUUUACUAUUUCCAAACUUAAUUCUCCCAUUUCUUCACACAAGAUCUUCAAGUUAGACUGGACGGUAGUGCAGUGGCAUUGGGCCUUUCUGCUCAAGGUGUCGGCCACCACGUUAGCUUUACCAGGAUGGUAAUGAAUUUCUAGUUUAUAGUCUUUAAUCAGUUCUAGCCACCGUCUUUGCCUCAUGUUUAAGUCCAUCUGAGUGAAGAUGUAUUUCAAGCUUUUGUGGUCAGUAAAGAUACGACAUUCACUACCUAAAAGAUAGUGUCGCCAUAUCUUUAGUGCAUGCACUACGGCAGCAAGCUCUAAAUCAUGAGUGGGGUAAUGCUCUUCAUGUCGCUUUAACUGACGAGAAGCAUAGGCAAUAACCCUUCCUUCUUGCAUUAGAACACACCCGAUGCCUGUUCCUGAGGCAUCGCAGUAUACAUCAAAGGGUUUUUCUAUAUCAAGUUGAGCUAGCGCUGGGGCUAUAGUCAAUAAUUUCUUCAAGACUUGGAAUGAUUCUUCACACUCAGGUUUCCAGUCAAAUUUCGUGUCCUUCUUUAAUAACUCUGUGAUUGGUUUAGAAACCUUUGAGAAAUUGGGAAUGAAUCUACGGUAAUAGCUAGCCAUUCCCAAGAAACUUCUUACUUCAUGAGCAGAAGUUGGUGAUUUCCAAUCCAGUAUAUCCUUGACUUUUCCGGGAUCUACUUCGAUUCCUUUUUCGGAUAGUAUGUGCCCAAGGAAUGGAACUUUCUUUAACCAGAAUUCACACUUACUAAAUUUGGCAUAUAACUGGUGUUCUCGGAGUCUAUUUAGAACAAUGCGCAAGUGUUGCGCAUGUUCCUCCUCAUUUUUAGAAAAGACAAGGAUAUCAUCUAUAAAGACAACCACAAAUUUAUCUAGCUUCGGCAUGAAUACUGAAUUCAUGAGGUAUAUAAAAUGCGUUGGGGCAUUUGUCAGUCCGAAAGACAUAACCAAAUACUCAUAUAGUCCAUAUCGGGUUGAAAAGGCUGUUUUUGGUAUGUCCUCGGGUUUUAUCUUAAUCUGGUGGUACCCUGACCGAAGGUCGAUUUUUGAAAAGACCUUAGCUCCGGACAACUGGUCGAACAACAAGUCAAUCCAUGGCAGCGGAUACUUGUUUUUGAUGGUUACCGCAUUCAAAGGGCGGUAAUCCACACAUAGCCUUAAUGUACCAUCCUUCUUUUUAACAAAAAGAGCUGGGCAGCCCCAUGGUGAAGUGCUAGGUCGGACAAAACCCUUAUCCAACAGUUCUUGGAGUUGUGUUUUUAACUCAGCUAGCUCUUUAGGUGGCAUUCGAUAUGGUCUUCUAGAAAUAGGAGCGGUGCCUGGUUCUAACUCAAUAGUGAAUUCUACCGCUCUAUCAGGCGGUAGCCCAGGCAAUUCUUCUGGAAAUACAUCUGGAAACUCAUUAACCACAGGAAUAGAUUCUAGAGUCACUGCUCUAGUCUUUUUGACCAUUUGGUCCAAACAAGGUUGAACGGGUAAUUGGAGUGCGAAAGAGUGGCCUUGGUCAUCUCUCAUGCUAACGACCCGUGUAAUCAUAUUAAUUUGAACUUCAUGUUCUUUCAUCCAAUUUACUCCCAAAAUAAUAUCUAUUCCUUGAUCUUCCAGAAUUAAAGGAUAAGCUCCCACCUUAUUUCCUUCUAGGUUUAAAAUCACAUUGCGAGCUACUUGAUUUGUAUUCUGUGUGGCACCAGUAGCUUGAAUAGCAUAUUUGACCUUUAAGGUAUGAACUUCUAGUUGAUGUUGUGUAACAAACUUUCUACUUAUAAAAGUAUGCGAUGCGCCGGAAUCAAACAAAACCAUAGCAGGAUAAUUGUUAACAAGAUACAUACCUGCUAGGAUUGGCUCUCCUUCUGGAAUUUCUUCUACAGUCAUAUAGUGAGCUUGUCCCGUCUUGGUGUUGACAAACUUGCGAUGGACAAACUUUUGUCCAGUGCCUUGGCCCGAGGUCUGAGCCUUUAAGUUUGCGUUUCCCCCAACUUUGGGAAAACGACAGUCUCGGGCGAAAUGUCCUGGCUUCCCACAGUUGAAACAAACCUGUGGAGUUCCUGAAGGAAUAGGGUUAUGAAACCCGAGAGAUGGUGCAAUUCCAGGAUGAGGGGUAGCACUGGGAGCUCUGGCAUUCCAGGACUGGAAAGGACGUUGCUGAAAUGGAGGACGAUACAUGGGUCGGGGAGGACCUCGAUAUACCAUCCUCAUUCUCUGGGGAGCAUUCCCAAAGUUCCCAGAAGGAACAGUCUUCCUCUUUAAUGCUUCUUCUUUCUUCAAAGUUUCAUCUAACAUUUUCAUCUUUUCUUCCGCGGUAAUGGCUGUACUUACCGCGGAGCUAUAAUCGGCGAAAGUGCAGGUGGAUAGCUUCUCCUGCAUUCUCGCAUUAAGUCCUCGGAGAUAACAAUCUCUCUUUCUGGUUUCAGUGUUGACAUGCUCUGGUGCAUACUGGGCUAGGUGAUCGAACUCAUUGGUAUAUGCCAGAAUGCUGCGAGUUCCUUGUUGCAGUCCCAAGAACUGUUCUAGUUUCAUUCUCAUGACACCUUCCGGUAUAAACUGCGUCCGAAAGGCUUCCUUAAAAUCUUCCCAUGUAACUUCCCUCCCCACUGGUUGCCUGGCUAGAUGACUGGUCCACCAAGUUGCUGCGGGACCUUGAAGCUGAAGCCCUGCAAAUUCAGCUUUCUGAGCGGCAGUACAUUGGGGGAUUACUCGAAAUUUUUGUUCCAUGGCCUGAAGCCACUCGUUAGCCUCUAGUGGAUGUUCGGCCUUCAAGAAUACUGGGGGACGUGUUUCCAGAAAUUGGGUGUAGGAUACACCCUGCUCCAGAUCUCUCCUACGUCCACCGUUGCCAGUGUUCUGUACUAUCAUCUGGAGUAAUCGGGCUUGUUCUGCCCCAGAAUUCAUUAGACUGGCUAUGGCGUCAGCCAGCGUAGGUGCUCUGGGUAAAUCCUCUUCCUGUCCUCCGGAACCUGAAGCUCGGGGUUCUUUGGGAUCCGUCAUGCUGCCAAGAGUAACAAGAUAUUAAUAUCUAUGGUGCAUUUUAUCAACAACUCUCUGCACACUAACAUGUCACACAUCACAGCAUUCACACACAAACCAUACUUAUGUACAUACUUAUUUAUAUUACAUGCCCAAGAGUUAAUUUUUACAAAACCCCUUAGUGUCACUUGUCUAUCACCCAUAUCUUACAAGAAUAUAUUACAGCACUUUCAAACCAAGUUCACUUCAACCGUCAUAAGGGAAAAUGCCCAGUUCUUCGGCAUUUAAUCCCAGUCGAGCCAUGGCUUCUUGCAGGACGUCUUGGUCCACAGUCAUCAAAGUUUGCCCUGGGGGAGCAACAGGUGGAGCUUGAUUGACAGAAUUUUCACUCCCGGAUUCCGGUCCGUAGUCACUCCAAGUGCGGGAAGUAUCAGAGGUGCUAAUUCCAGAUUUUCCUUCCAUUUCUUCCGGAUCCUCUUCUUCUUCUUCGCCUCCUGGUUCUUCUUCUCCCCACUGCUGCAUGGGACCAUAGCCCUGAGGAUCUAGUCCAUCGACAUUAGCAUUGGCCCAAGCAAACUGUUGAUUUCCUGCAGGGACUUCGCCCUGGUCAUCUUCCAUGUCCAUAUCAAAGCCUUCCAGAUUCUCGUGAGCAUACAAAUCUAUCUCAGGAUCUGCCGGUGGCACCGGAUCUUCUUCUAUUUCUAUCACAGGUACUAGUUGAUCUGCUUCCUCCGGGUUCGGUGGUUGAGGCUCUUCUGGUGGGGGAGGUGGUGGAACAUUGACAAUAUUUUGUGCAGGUUCCUGAGCCUGCAUUUCUUCCAGGGCUAGACGAAGUGAUAGAAUCUCGUCUAGCUGUUGGAACCUUUCCGCCUCCAGCCUAUGGACAUUGGAUUCAGCUUCUUCCCUUGCUCUAUCCGCCAUACUCCGACUGGCUUCAAUAAACCCUUGCAUCACCCUAAGUUUUUCUUCAUAAUCUUCAAGCCUUCUGGACUGCUCUCGCAUUGCCUUUUCCAUCUCAUGUUCCCUUGCCAUUGCCGCUGUCUUGUACAUUUCCUUGUCAUACCGGGCACCCAUCACUUCCAUCCUAGUAUCUUCGUUCUUCUGCCUCUGAUUAUAAUAUUCUCGGAUACAAGCUUGAUGCAAGUUGUACAUAGCGGUCAUAUAAUCAGAAGCAGCAGCCACCAACACAUCGUGCUCCACACGAGAUGUGUUCUUCAAGGCUUUAAUCCUCCGCUUCCAUACCCCGUCAUCUUGAUGCUUGAUUGGAUAGAAUCGAGCGGAGCUCGACCCUACUUCCACCUUGUGGUUCUCACACAGCUCAGUAAGGGCUGUCAUGGCUGCCCUUUCUAUAGUAUCGUUGAAUUCAAAACCCGAUUCCAUUACUUCCUCCAAACGCCCAACUUAAGCUGGUUUAAGUGCGCCUAAUCGCCGUUAGAACGGCAAUUAUCUGAAACGCACUUAAAACAGCAUAAGUCCGGUAGUCCGUCGAGUGUCCCUAGGACUCCUCGAAGGAUCCACGGCGUGUCUCAUAACCAUACAUCAGGAUAAUAUCCGCGAUGGGAUAAUAUCAACAAACAUUACAUUUUUACAUACAUAAUUAAGAGGUACGAGUUAUUACAAGACAUAAGUUGAGGCAAACUUAGUGAUGCAGUGUUAGACAAGUUCUAAGAUUAAACAUAAAUAGUUCAGGAGAAGAUGCGUAGAUAAACUUUUCUCUAGGGUAUUGUGAGACUCGGAUCAAUACCCUAGGGCUUCGGGGUCUUCUCCUCGGUAGCCUCCUGUGGAGCUUCUGAAAGAUAACCACAAGGGGAAAACCCUGAGUACGGGGUACUCAGCAAGUCUUACCCGACUAACCAAUAUAAUAGUUUUUCUUUGGAAUGCAUGUCAGCCUUUGGGUGUGCUUGGUUGACACAAUUUUGCCGAAAAAGCUUACUACGAGUGAGGCCUUAGUUUUAUCUUUUAUUUGAGUUAAGUCAUUACCUAACCAUUCUAGAUGAUAACGAAAGUAAAAACAAUCAUAGCUGUUAAAUCAUACAUUACUUGACAACAGGAGAUUUUAUAUUGCAUGAAUUAAUACUACGAUGCUCAACAGCGAUCAAGUGCAUUCAUAACCGAGAAUUGCGGCGAUCCGGAUCUAAUUACAUCCUGCAGGAGAAUACCCUGAUCACCAGCAUUAUACGACUGUCCAGGUCGUACUAACAACCUCUCGAUUAGCAAAGUCAAUGAUUAGGAAUACGACUACCCGGACCCAGGGAUGCACCCCCACAUGGGACCCCACGUCUAGCCUGAUCUCCAUGUGAGUUUCAGGCUACACCCCUGCCAAUCUCCAGCACGUCAAGCGCGGGUACGAAGCAUUCCUGAUCAUAGAAUUUACUAAUCUACUGGGCUUUUCUGGUCCCAUACCCAAUAAGUGAUCAGAUGCUUAUCACUUGAUCAAAAGUUAAGACACGAAUCGGGCCUUAACUAGAGUAAUCUAGCAGACAGAACUACAUCUCUAGCUUCUGUCCGUUUUCAUAUUCCAGACUAUCCUUCAUAAGCAACAUGUAUGAUUUAAGAGUUUUCCUUGAGGUUGGUAAACCAAGCAUGUAAGCGAGUAAGCAAUUCUAGACUUGGGUAGUUUCUAAGAUUUGAACAAGUGGCAAAGAUGUCCUUAAAUCAAGGCAUGAUCAUACAUAAGAAUAGGUUUCAAUCAACUCCUAGACUUAGUGCAUACAUAUACAAUUAACCUACAACUAGUCACAUGAAAUAACGACUCCAAAAAUAGAUAGGUAUAAAUGCACCGGGGCUUGCCUUGUUCGUUAAAAAGAUUAGUAGAAGCUGACGGAUUUGCUUCACAGGGAACAAACUCAAACACCUCGUCGGACUCCAAGGGUCCUUCUAAAAAUUCCCAUUAAUCUUCUUCCGGUGCUUCUGGAUCUACGGCACAUAUACAUGCAUGGGGUUAGAAUGCAAACUUUUUGAAUAACAGACUAUACAACUUUCCUUCAUGAUAAAGUUGCAAGCCAACAAGGACUAUACAACUUAUCAUGAUAAAGUUGCAAGCCAACACACAAGAAUCUAAAAAGAUUAACCUAUACUUUUUAUUUUUCUUAUUUAACCCUCCCUAUAGCUUUUUAUUUUAAUUUUAGAAAAAGUAGCAAUUAUUUUCUAACUUAAAAAUCUAAUCUCCUAUGGGUUAAGAAUUAUUUGUGAUUGAUAAAGCGUUAUUCAUAUUUUAUACAUUUUAUAAAUAUUAAGUAUUUAUUUAAUUACCUUAAAAGGAAGGCAUUAAAUAAAUACCCGAAUUUUUAUUAUUUUCCUAGGGUGUAAAAAUUUUAAUGCAUAAAGGAAAAUAAAACAAGCCUAACAAAAUUGGUUUCACUAAUUUUGGACACUCCUACAAAUUUCUGUGAUUAAAAUAGUGUAAAACGAAUUUAAACGAAUUAAAUUGCUAAAGGAAAUCUAAUUUUUCCCGAAAAUCGCCCGGAAAACUUUUCUUACACACCCACUCUCUACCCUCUCUCACGCACGCUGGGCCCCACGGCGCGGACCCCACCUUUCCCUAUUCAAUCUACCCGCCGGCCUUUUCUUCCCCCCGACGGGCCCCGCGGGCCGAUUUUCUUUUUUCUUCCUUUUUCUGCGGCCCAGCACCGGCCUUUCGGCCCACCUGACUUUUUCUCUUCCUCUGCGAAAACCGGCCAGCUCCACUGGGCCUUCGGCCCUUUUCUUUUUCCAUUUAUAUGCGCGCGCUGCUGGGCCUUCAGGUCGCGGCCCAGCAACCGACCGCGCGCUGCCUCCUGGGCCUCCGACGCGCCGGCCUGCCACUGACCGCGCGCUCGGCCUGCCGUCUCCCUCCCCUUUCUUCUCUGACGCGCGGGCCCGGGCGCCCAGCGCCUUCUUCUACCUCCCGCCCAAACGCGCCCAUGACAGGGGGCGGCGCGGCUCGCCGGCCGGCGCCCUCCCGGCGGCGGGUUUAGGUCGCAACACCACUCCUAGACCUACAUGACCUCGUGCACGGCAACAGCUCCCCGGGAGAUGGCCGGAGCCAUCCCCUCCACGGCGACAGGCGGCGACUCCCUCGGCCGGCCGUGGCUUCUUACGACAACAGCUUAACCGACUCAAACGACUACCUCUACUCCAUCCUAGGACACUACAGAUGUCUGUGGAGGAGUGGGUGAGAGGAAUCGACGGGAGACGAGAUGUGGCGGCGGAAUUUUGCUCGGCGGUGAUGCUGGACAGAGGAGAGCGGGCGGCGGUAAAAAGAGGAGGCAGUGAAACGGUGGCGCGGGAACAGUAACUAUUCAAGGGAUUCACCCCUCGCAUGGAUGACACCGUGGCCUAUCCGUAGGCUUGCGUGGUGAGGAGGUGGCCUAGCUAGUUGCCCUGGCGGUCGACCGACGAUGGCGGCAGCGACACGUCUUGAUGCUCAGUCACCGUUCCUCUGGCGCCCGUGACCUUCAGAGCCGACUGGUGGUCGAUCUUCAAUCCGACGGCCGCUAGCGUCUGAACCGAAGUUGGAGAUAAUCUCAAACUCUCCAUCUUUUAUUUUGACUCCAUCCCGAGAUAAACAUCGAAUUCGACUCAAUUUUGAUUUGUUUCUCGGGUUCUUUUGGAGUUCACUGAAGAAACUGACAUUCAGUUCGUCAGUUCUAACAGUGGCGUUGAUCUCACUUUGGGAACCAAAUUAAGGACUCAAUCCUUGUUCUGUCAAUCCAACUUCUGCCUAAACAUGUUCUAUUAUGUCCCAAUGUUCCAUUUUGCUCAUGAACAAGUACCUUUCUUGAUCCACUUUGCUCUGAAUUUAAAUUCCAGUUCGACCUCCUACUGUCGGUUUCAGACUUAGACAUUUUCAGAGUUUCAGUUAACUGUGAUUUUGUGCUGACUUUGAGCUCGAGUUUGACUUCCUUCCCUUCACUGUUUCUGGCCAACAACACAUGAAUAUUGUAGUCCAAAGUUCAUACUUCAAGAUGGUAUAAUUUCCCUGGUGCACUUAGUUGCAAAAUUCUCCAGAAAUUAAUUUUAAAAACGGACUCUGUUGCUGUUUUACUGGACUGCUGUUUUCGGACGGUGAACAGUAGACGUCAUUUUUCCUUUUCUUUCUCCGAUUCCUUUGAGAUAAUUAGCACUAAUUUGGUUCCAAUUUCUUGAUCCCUUAAUUCCAAGUACUCUUACACUUAUACUCCACAUGUUUGACAAAUUUUUCUGAAUUCCAAAUUUGAAAUUCAAAUUUCGGUCAAAUUUGACCGAAUUUGAUCUUUUUGCCAAUUUCUUUUCUUUUUCUUUUGGAUUUCUUUCGGAUUUCUCAUAAUUACUUUGAUACUUCAGAUGGCAAUUAUUACACUGCGAUAGGACGGGGCGAGCGCCGGGCUGGCCAACUGCCGGCCGCGCGCAUCCCUUCCCCCUGCCGCGUAUCUGCUCCGCCCAACCAGUGCGUCGCCCGCUCGCCGGAGAAGCC
rnacentral:lncRNA from 1 species